rnacentral:rRNA from 1 species
CGCGUAUGCAGGGGGACAACAGUCAGUAAAUGACUGCUAAUACCGCAUAAGCACACAAUGCUGCAUGGCAUGGUGUGAAAAGAUUUAUCGGCAUACGAUGGCCCCGCGUCUGAUUAGCCAGUUGGCAGGGUAACGGCCUACCAAAGCAACGAUCUGUAGCCGGCUUGAGAGAGUGACCGGCCACAUUGGGACUGAGACACGGCCCAGACUCCUACGGAAGGCAGCAG